rnacentral:rRNA from 1 species
AAAGANAGGGUAACAUUAACACAUGCAAGUCGAACGAUGAAGCCNUUCGGGGUGGAUUAGUGGCGAACGGGUGAGUAACACGUGGGCAAUCUGCCCUUCACUCUGGGACAAGCCCUGGAAACGGGGUCUAAUACCGGAUAUCACUCUCUUCCGCAUGGGGGAGGGUUGAAAGCUCCGGCGGUGAAGGAUGAGCCCGCGGCCUAUCAGCUUGUUGGUGGGGUGAUGGCCUACCAAGGCGACGACGGGUAGCCGGCCUGAGAGGGCGACCGGCCACACUGGGACUGAGACACGGCCCAGACUCCUACGGGAGGCAGCAGUGGGGAAUAUUGCACAAUGGGCGAAAGCCUGAUGCAGCGACGCCGCGUGAGGGAUGACGGCCUUCGGGUUGUAAACCUCUUUCAGCAGGGAAGAAGCGAAAGUGACGGUACCUGCAGAAGAAGCGCCGGCUAACUACGUGCCAGCAGCCGCGGUAAUACGUAGGGCGCAAGCGUUGUCCGGAAUUAUUGGGCGUAAAGAGCUCGUAGGCGGCUUGUCGCGUCGGAUGUGAAAGCCCGGGGCUUAACCCCGGGUCUGCAUUCGAUACGGGCAGGCUAGAGUGUGGUAGGGGAGAUCGGAAUUCCUGGUGUAGCGGUGAAAUGCGCAGAUAUCAGGAGGAACACCGGUGGCGAAGGCGGAUCUCUGGGCCAUUACUGACGCUGAGGAGCGAAAGCGUGGGGAGCGAACAGGAUUAGAUACCCUGGUAGUCCACGCCGUAAACGUUGGGAACUAGGUGUGGGCGACAUUCCACGUCGUCGGUGCCGCAGCUAACGCAUUAAGUGCCCCGCCUGGGGAGUACGGCCGCAAGGCUAAAACUCACAGGAAUUGACGGGGGCCCGCACAAGCAGCGGAGCAUGUGGCUUAAUUCGACGCAACGCGAAGAACCUUACCAAGGCUUGACAUAUACCGGAAACGGCCAGAGAUGUGCCCCCCUUGUGGUCGGUGUACAGGUGGUGCAUGGCUGUCCUCACCUCCUGUCGUGAGAUGUUGGGUUAAGUCCCGCAACANCGCAACCCUUGUUCCUGGUUGCCGCAGCCCUUCGGGGNNNUGGGGACUCCGGGAAACCGCCG